GCCAGUGUGGUGUAAUGGUUGGACUGUUGGACUAGGACUGCAGAGGAAACCAGGGUUCAAAUCCCUGCUCAGCCA